UACGUGUCCAGAAAAGCUGGAUAUGGUGCACUUAGCUCUGUGCCGGUUGAGGCUGGAAACUAUACGCGAUGUCUACCCAGCGUGGUUAAAGAGCAAUGGAGGUUUGUUGACUCCGCGCUGAGGGAAAAUCCGCAGUGCAACUCGGCGUAUGCUCGCUACCGCUUCGAGAGUCACGCAAGCCACCGGCGGUACACAAUGGCCGCCGUGCCAGACAGCGCCGCCGGCCACUGCGCCCGGGCGCGGACGAAAUGAGAGGAACGCGUGCCUUGGCCCGAUCCACGUUACGUCAGUGGCUGGCGUGCGCGGCGGAGGCCGUUCCGGCAGCCAGCGAUGGGAUUCCGGAGCUCCACGGGCCCGUGUCCAGCGGGGCAAGGACGCUGCGUUGCGCCACUUUCGAGGUCAGAUACCAGUACGGUGUAUCUUCCGGCCCGACAAGGCUCAGGUAGCCGUGCUACUGGUAACGACAAUGGCGUUUUUUACGACCGAAGUUCAGGGUCAAGUAGAGGGUCCACCUGGAAGAGCCAGAAAAUGGUCCCCAAGUUCUCAAGCAACCCGCAUGUCGCGGCCUCCCAGCAGACGAAACUGGAAACAAUUAUGCGGAGACCGUUAUCAUCGCCUAAUUUGAAUUUAUCGGUGGCACGUCGCGCACAGGACGGCUUAAGGGGAGCGAAUCGCCACUCGCAGAAAUCCCAGGGUCUCGUCGCAGUUGCUGGAGUGCCCUACUACCCUCUAGCCGUGGGCUUUCACAGGGUUUAUACGAUCCCGUACCCGUGGGCAUAUUACGCUGUCUAUCCCUCAUGGAGACCUCCGGCGACCCCGGCGACCCCUGCGACCCCUGUGGUCAAUGUACCUGUCGUUGUGCACGUUCACCCCCACGUUGUACCAGUUCAAGUGACUACAUUUGUCUCGAACACGGAUGGUGGCGUGGGCUUUGCACUUGGUGACGGCUCAGGAGUAGCAGGUUCAAACAAUCCGACCAAUGACGAUGGCAUUGAUGCUGGCUUUGUGCCUACCUACGGCUGUGGCACAGCCAAGGCUGCUAACUGCCGAAGCUGAGAAAUAAUUAAAAGAUGUGAUCGCAUGUGCUUUUUCUGGCAGAACAUGUUAUUUAAAAGUUAAUAUAUGCUUUUUUCAUGAAACCAAUCAGCAUUCAACUAGACACUUAAUUAAGCAUACGGAGGUUGAUGAAGAUAGAGGUGUUGCUGAGAGGUGUUACUUCGCUGUGACACAUACAGCUGUAACAGUAAUUUUUUCCGUGCAAUACGACUGUGAUUCGUUUAAUGAAUGAGAGUGGGCAUAACUACGCUAGAUGAUGGGAUGUUAUCUCUCUUUCCUUUAGCAGGUUUGUUUAUCUAAGUCAUCAAUCUCUACUCACCCCUCGUCACAUCGUAGAAGCAAUAAUCCCGAGGGUUUGCGACAUGUACUACCGACUGAACACGCCUACAGCUGUAGCAAAAAUGCUGCUAAGCAAUAUACUGAUGUAUCAUCCUUGUGUGGUCUGUCCUGUUCCGCUACCAUCGGGCCACUAUACUUACAAGUUUCGCAAUAAAUAGUUUGUUCGCAUA